UGGGGAAUCUUGCACAAUGGGGGCAACCCUGAUGCAGCGACGCCGCGUGAGCGAUGAAGCCCUUCGGGGCGUAAAGCUCUUUCGACCGGAACGAUAAUGACGGUACCGGGAGAAGAAGCUGCGGCUAACUACGUGCCAGCAGCCGCGGUAAUACGUAGGCAGCAAGCGUUGUUCGGAGUUACUGGGCGUAAAGAGUGCGUAGGCGGUUUUCUAAGUUCGGUGUGAAAUCUCCCGGCUUAACUGGGAGGGUGCGCCGAAGACUGGGAAGCUGGAGUGUGGGAAAGGCAGGCGGAAUUCCUGGUGUAGUGGUGAAAUACGUAGAUAUCUGGAAGAACACCAGUUGCGAAGGCGGUCUCUUGGUCCGACACUGACACUGAGGCGCGAAAGCGUGGGGAGCAAACA
rnacentral:rRNA from 1 species